rnacentral:rRNA from 1 species
UACAGAGGUCCCAAGCGUUGUUCGGAUUCAUUGGGCGUAAAGGGUGCGUAGGCGGCGCGGUAAGUCGGGUGUGAAAUCUCGGAGCUCAACUCCGAAAUUGCACUGGAUACUGCUCUGCUAGAGGGCUGGAGAGGAGAUCGGAAUUCACGGUGUAGCAGUGAAAUGCGUAGAUAUCGUGAGGAAGACCAGUGGCGAAGGCGGGUCUCUGGACAGUUCCUGACACUGAGACACGAAGGCCAGGGGAGCAAACGGG